CGUUGAUAAAAUAUUAAACUGUUAUUCAAAGAAUUAUAGAUGAACAUCUCCUUUAUGCAACCGCUGUGACAGAUUUCAAUAAAGCUUUACUGGGAAAGCACACUUUGCAAUAAUCUGAGUACGGCGCUCAGAAACAUACACCAGGCAAUACAGAUACCCGCCAUUUUGGAAUGAAGAGGAGAGGCCGUGUACUGGCUGAUUUAGGAGAGAUGAAGAGGAGAGGCUGAUUUAGGAGAGAUGAAGAGGAGAGGCUGAUUUAGGAGAGAUGAAGAGGAGAGGCCGUGUACUGGCUGAUUUAGGAGAGAUGAAGAGGAGAGGCUGAUUUAGGAGAGAUGAAGAGGAG
rnacentral:lncRNA from 1 species